AGCGCUUUGUCUCCCUAAGUGGCUAACUGAGGUGUGAAAGGGUCUGUGGUGAGUGGACAAAGGAGCACAAAGGGCAAAAGAUGAGGAAAUGGAGGCUUCAAGGUCAAACCCCUUGCCCAGAGACAUGCAGCAGAAAGUGAUGAAGCUGAGAUUUGAACUUGCACCUGUCUGACUGCAAAUCCCAUCUCUUCCUGAUGUGCCAGAGACAGCAGAAGGGCCCACGGCUCUGUAGAUGUGGCCUAUUAGCCUCUCAAGUCUAGAGCAAGCCCCUCAGUGUGGGGCCCCUCCCUAGCUGCACUUCCUGCCACACCUGUCCUUCAAGCAGCCGCCUUUCUUUAGAACCCCACAUCUACUGUGGUGAUCACUCUGCAUAGCUGCUUUAGAAACAUAUGAAGAUAACAGAAGGAUCUCAUCUGCAACCCAGAGCUCUCUGUGCCUGGUGGUGACUCCCAAGAAGCUCCCAUAAGGAAGAGGCCCCUCAAAGAACACACUGAACACAGUGGACCCUCUGCUGCC
rnacentral:lncRNA from 1 species